rnacentral:rRNA from 1 species
AUUGAACGCUGGCGGCAGGCCUAACACAUGCAAGUCGAACGAGUGGCGGACGGGUGAGUCAUGGCUGGGAAACUGCCAGAUGGAGGGGGAUAACUACUGGAAACGGUAGCUAAUACCGCAUACCAUCGGAUGUGCCCAGAUGGGCUUAGCUAGUGGGUGGGGUAACGGCUCACCGAGGCGACGAUCCCUAGCUGGUCUGCGAGGAUGACCAGCCACACUGGAACUGAGACACGGUCCAGACUCCUACGUGAGGCAGCAGUGGGGAAGAUUGCACAAGGGGCGCAAGCCUGAUGCAGCCAUGCCGGGUGUAUGAAGAAGGCCAUCGGGUUGUAAAGUACUUUCAGCGGGGAGGCGUUACCCGCAGAAGAAGCACCGGCUAACUCCGUGCCAGCAGCCGCGGUAAUAC